CAGUUAUAUAUUUCCAGGCUGCCAACUGCUAUCACCGAAGGAACAUCUAAAUCAUUGACAAAUCAGCAUAAAGAAGUCUAAAGGAAGAUUUACCCAUUCUAUGGAAAAGUCAAUGUCCACAGGCUGGCCCGGGAAGGAUGCAGUGCCAAAUGACCUCUGCCUGGAAUGAGUCAUCCUGCUACCCAGUUAGCAUUCACUCUCAACAGCAGAUCUCUGAAAUCCAGCCGAGGAUUUCUGAGUCAGGUCAUUUUUUAGAGUUGUUGCAUUCCUCUGUCAGAGAUUUUUGUCUCAUUUUCCGCAGAGAAUGAAAGUAAUCAUUUCAUCCAUAUUCUUGGAUUUUCACAAAAGUUGACCAUUUGGAUCUCUUCCUGAAUUAACUAUCCACACUUUUUAUUAGUACAUUGACUUUACCAUAGAAGUUUAAAUUAUUCUUUUUACAUUUGUUGGAAAUAUUCCACUUCCCCCAAAAAACACUUUUUUCAGAAACUUUUAGGGAUAAGAUUUCAGAUUGUUUUCCGGAAGAUCUAGGCCUGAUUAACAAAAAACAGAUCCUAAGCCUAUCUGAUGUAACACCAAUAUCACUUCUAAGGGCCACUUAAGAAAAAAAUUCCCUAUAAUAUUGCUUGGACAAUUUGAAUAAAAUUUCUUCCACCCAAGUUUCUCCAACUACUAUAUAGGAUGUUCUUUUUCAUUUUUUAUCGUAAAUAUUAUAUUUCUAAAUAAUUAAUCCUCCUUUAGUCAGUCUAAGAACUUUCUGAUCAACCAUUUCCUUUUAGAGGAAAUAUAUUCGUAAAUUGGAGUGAAGAAGAUUUAUUAUGAAGUACUCAAAAAGGCUACCCACUAUGCCAUCUGCAGAACUUUGUGCCACAAUUUUAUUUUAUUCUUCAUUUUUUGCUGCAAGCCGCAGCAGUUAUUUCCACUUCUACCCAAGUGAGGGGGCUGAGAAGACUGAUGGCCAUUUUCAUAGAUACACAUGUACAGAUACCUGUAUAUGUGGUUCUUUUUUUACUUUCUAAUAGCCCCCAGCACUGUGCCUCAUUUCAAAAAUCGUCUCUGCUGAAGACAAUCUCUGUAUCUUGUUUCUCCCUACUUGAUCCUGCUAACAAGUCUUCAUUCCUCACCACAACCCUUGGCCUUGAUCUCUUGUGCUUCCUUCUCUUCACUUCCACUACUGAGUUCACGUUUUGUUUUGUUUUGUUUCAGCUGAGAUUCCCAUACUCAAAGUCUCUCUAAUGUUCUAAAAUUGUUGAUACCCCACCAGCUAUGCACCCUCCUUUUUGCAUUAGUGGUAGUUUACUAAGCAGUAGGUAGGUACACAGGCUGUGAAGGAAAAGAGAGAACAGUUUCCUGAAAAGUUCUCUUGCCCUCAUCCCAGGGUGGCCUCACCACAAAGCUGGACACAGAUUAGAAUUUGAGAAUGGAAGAGCACAGUCCCUUCCAGUCCCUUACUUUUCAGGGAUGCAAUUAUGCUGCCUGAUGGUGAUGGCUGUCUGAGCACCAGUCCAGAAAGAUAGCCCUGCUGGGAAGUGUGCUAGGGAACCCGCCAUGUGUCUGCAUGAAGCCCACAUUGGGGUGGAUGUGAUGGAAACAAGGUUUCAGUCGUAGCAGCAGCAAGCAAGUCAGCCCAUUGCCACUUCUCAGCUGCAAUAUUCUGGGGUUUAUUUUCUAAUAAAGAAGACUGACUUGU